GAUGAACGCUGGCAGCAGGCCUAACACAUGCAAGUCGAGCGGAAGUUGGGUUUUUAACUUCGGAUUGGGUGGCGGACGGGUGAGUAACGCGUAAAGAACUGGCCUCACAGCUAGGGACAACAUCUGGAAACGAAUGCUAAUACCUAAUAUUAUGAUAAUAGUACAUCCUAUAAUUAUGAACGCAAUAAUCGCUGUGAGAGAUCUUUGCGUCCCAUUAGCUAGUUGGAGAGGUAACGGCUCACCAAGGCGAUGAUGGGUAGCCGGCCUGAGAGGGUGAUCGGCCACAAGCGCACUGAGACACAGCCCUUACAGAUACUGGAGGCAGGAGGGGGGACUAAUGGACAAUGGACCGAGUGUGUGAUGAAGGAAUUCUGUGUGGAAGAUGAUGUUAGUCGGAAUGUAGAGUGGUUUGAUUAGGGAAGAAAAUAAUGACGGUACCAACAGAAGAAGCGCCGGCUAACUACGUG
rnacentral:rRNA from 1 species